GAUAAACGCUGGCGGCGUGCUUAACACAUGCAAGUCGAACGGAGUUAAUAAGUGGAAGUUUUCGGAUGGAAGCUUAUUAACUUAGUGGCGGACGGGUGAGUAACGCGUGAGAAACCUGCCUUUUACAAAGGGAUAGCCUCGGGAAACUGGGAUUAAUACCUUAUGACACUUAAAUGUCGCAUGAGAUUUAAGUCAAAGCGUAAAAGCGGUAAAAAGAUGGUCUCGCGUCCCAUUAGUUAGUUGGUGAGGUAAAGGCUCACCAAGACAGCAAUGGUAGCCGGCCUGAGAGGUGAACGGCCACACU
rnacentral:rRNA from 1 species